ensembl:lncRNA
AAAACAUGUUAGCCCCGCCCUAAGGGUGGAGAAAACAGGAGUGUCCUUUGAAUGACACUCCCUCCUCUCUUUCUUCUCUUCCUAGAUGCUUCUCUGCGGCCUCACAGGCUGGCAGGCAGCCUGUGAUGGGGCCCUGCUCAGAAGACCCCCGCCUCUGCGGGGCCUCCAGGCUCCUAGGAUUCACCAGCUUCCUCCUCAGUGUCUGCUGCACUGGGGUCGAGAAUUCUACAGCACCUGGUCCUGGAGUUCAGGAUUCUGGACUUGUUCCCCUGCAGAGGAUCCGAGGAGGUUCUGUGUUGUUUCAUGUGACCAAGAAUCAAAAAGCUGACCCAGAGGAGGUCUCAUGGGGCUUUGGCCCUGAGUUAAACUACAGCGUCAUGCUGCGAGUCCACCGUGGGGCAGACACCCCAACCUGGGUCAGCCUCCAGGACAAGUACCAGCACAGGGUCCAUGUGCCUAACAUCCUGUUCCUGAGGAUUGAUAACCUGACCCUAGAGGACAGUGGGCAGUACCGGGCUCGAGCCAGCUUCACUAGAGGAAUAGAAUUAAACCAGGUUUUCCUCCUCACUGUCUAUGAAACUGUACCCGUUCCUAAGAUCCUUGUCAAGUCAGCAUCCUUCACACCAGGCUGGUGCAAUGCCACUCUGGAGUGCACAGCCCCAGGGGAUACAAAGGACCUGAAGGUGACCUGGGAGAUCAAGGACCUUCCCAGGGAGCUGGAGCAGAGAGUGACAUCAGAACUACCCUCCAAGUCCUGGAACCUGACUCUGUGCCUGCCUGUGAGCCAGCCCAGUGGCAGCUUGACCUGUAUGGUCAGCAACCAGGUGGACCAGAAAACUGCCAUCUUAGGCCUUGGAGAAGUCUGUGUCUCUGAUUCACCUGAAAACAAUGAUGAUAAGACCCUGUCAGGCAUCAUAGGGACUGUCGUGAUUAUCCUGUUGAUCUGCGUAAUUGGACUGUUCCUUUGGAAGACCUGUGUGAAGAAGAGGAAGAUGACGACUGGAAGAGGUGUAGAAGUUCAGGAGGAUCAGAGGGACAAUGAUGGUGGCCUCCACUAUGCGGAGCUGAGCCAGCAGGAGUCUGCCGCACACAAGGGUGUUGAUAAACAACAUUUAGAAGAAAAGGCGUCUAGUACUGUCUACAGUGAGGUCUGCAAGCCAGAAAGGGAGGCCAUGAAGAUACUUUAAUUGGAGAAAGCAGAAGAAUCGGAACUACUAGGACACCUCCACUCGGCGCUUGAUUCCUGAAGACAUCUGCGUCUCCCAGCUCUGGUCCAGCUCCAGCUGCCCCGUGACCCUCCCGCCCUUAAGUCCCUGUGCGCAUGUGGCCUUCUCACAACCUGUGUCGACUUCCCCAGCUGUCUUCCCACUCAAGAUCCUCACCCUGCAGGAUGAGAGCUCUUCUUCCAUCACUGACCCAGCGCCUAGCCCCUCUUCUCCUGAAACUUCCCAAAGAGGACCUUCCUGCACAUGAUAAUCCCCACAGCCUCUGCUGUGCGGUUGAUGUGUAUCUUUCUCAGCACUCAAGCCCAGGCGUGGAGACAAUUGACCAGACUACAGAGGACAAG